GACGAACGCUGGCGGCAUGCCUAAUACAUGCAAGUCGAGCGAACAGAUGAAGUGCUUGCACUUCUGACGUUAGCGGCGAACGGGUGAGUAACACGUAAGGAAUCUACCUAUAAGCGGGGGAUAACAUUCGGAAACGGGUGCUAAUACCGCAUAAUAUCUUCUUCCGCAUGGAAGAAGAUUGAAAGACGGCUCUGCUGUCACUUAUAGAUGACCUUGCGGUGCAUUAGUUAGUUGGUGGGGUAAUGGCAUACCAAGACGAGGAUGCAUAGCCGACCUGAGAGGGUGAUCGGCCCCAUUGGGACUGAGACACGGCCCAAACUCCGACGGGAGGCAGCAGUAGGGAAUCUUCCGCAAUGGGCGCAAGCCUGACGGAGCAAUGCCGCGUGAGUGAAGAAGGCCUUCGGGUCGUAAAACUCUGUUAUAAGGGAAGAACAAGUAUGAGAGUAACUGCUCGUACCUUGACGGUACCUAACCAGAAAGCCACGGCUAACCACGUGCCAGCAGCCGCCGUAA
rnacentral:rRNA from 1 species